CUGGAAUCCUGAGGUCCAUCAUGACAGGUUCUCUAGAUGAGGACUGAGCUGCACUGAGGAGUAGAGAAGUAGCCUGCAGCCUGAAGAAUGACAGCUGGCAGCCUAUGCUCAGAAAGGCAAGGAGACACUGAUGCAAUUCUUCAUCCAAGCAGUAAAAAAUGACUCUCAGUCUUUUCUCCCUUGAUGGGAAAUAAAAAGAUGAAGCCAACCUGUCUUCUAGAGACACACAAUCGAGGGAACACCUCAGAUUGCUUCUUUAAAAUGCAAUGAAAAACUAAAAUAAAAUGAAGAACCACACCUGCUCAUCUAAUAGAUCAGAUACAUUGAAAAUUUAGACUAGAAAACCAUCUAAGUGAUAAAGGUGUCUCCUGAGAGAUAAUUCACUACAUAGAAACCUACAGAACCAAGUUUCUCAAGACAUUUGUUGUUCAGACACCAAUAAGCACUUCCACACAAGUGAAUAUUGCUCACUCUGAGAUAUACUUUGAACCGAGUAAGGACCCGAAAGGUCCCAGAGUGAAUCCUUUCCAGACCCUCAGGCUGUUCUCAGAGAUUGUGGAUCACUUGUCUGCUGUCAUCCUGAAGGUGGGGUGUGUGACACAGUGACACCCAGCAUCCAGACCCUCUCUCCAAGGCUCAGGGAAGCCCAGGACUGACGAAAUUCUGGGAUGGUCAGGAGAGUAUGAUCGAAGAAAAUAAAGAAAACUUUUAGAGUAGUUUUUCCCUCAGUUUUUUUUUUCCUGAGGAAGAUUCACCUCAUGCUAAAUCUGCUGCCAAUCUUCCUCUUUUUGCUGGAUGAAGAUUCUCCCCGAGCUGACAUCUGUGCCAAUCUUCCUUUAUUUUAUAUUUGGGUCACCACCACAGCAUGGCUGCC
rnacentral:lncRNA from 1 species